rnacentral:rRNA from 1 species
AGUCUGGUGCCAGCAGCCGCGGUAAUUCCAGCUCCGCAGGUGUAUAUCUAUGCUGCUGCGGUUAAAAAGCUCGUAGUUGGAUCUGCGUGCUCGGAACCGGUUGGCUCACUGAGUUCAAACUGGUCUCCGGCGCUUUAUUGGCUGGUUUUCCCUUGAUGCUCUUAACCGGGUGUCUUGGGUGGCUAGCACGUUUACUUUGAAAAAAUUAGAGUGCUCAAUACAGGCGCAAAGCCUUGAAUAGUGGUGCAUGGAAUAAUAGAAUAGGACCUCGGCUCUAUUUUGUUGGUUUUCGGAACGCGAGGUAAUGAUUAAGAGGGACAGACGGGGGCAUUCGUAUUGCGACGUUAGAGGUGAAAUUCUUGGAUCGUCGCAAGACGGACGACUGCGAAAGCAUUUGCCAAGAAUGUUUUCAUUAAUCAAGAACGAAAGUUAGAGGUUCGAAGGCGAUCAGAUACCGCCCUAGUUCUAACCGUAAACGAUGCCAACUAGCGAUCCGCAGGCGUUAAACAACGACCUUGCGGGCAGCUUCCCGGAAACGAAAGUGUUCGGGUUCCGGGGGAAGUAUGGUUGCAAAGCUGAAACUUAAAGGAAUUGACGGAAGGGCACCACCAGGAGUGGAGCCUGCGGCUUAAUUUGACCCAACACGGGAAAACUCACCCGGCCCGGACACCGUAAGGAUUGACAGAUUGAGAGCUCUUUCUUGAUUCGGUGGGUGGUGGUGCAUGGCCGUUCUUAGUUGGUGGAGCGAUUUGUCUGGUUUAUUCCGAUAACGAACGAGACUCUGGCCUACUAAAUAGUGGGCGGAUUCUUUCUGUCCGCAACACUUCUUAGAGGGACAAGCGGUGUUCAGCCGCACGAGAUUGAGCAAUAACAGGUCUGUGAUGCCCUUAGAUGUCCGGGGCUGCACGCGCGCUACACUGAAGGAAUCAGCGUGCUUUCUGACCUUGCCCGAAAGGGCUGGGUAACCCGAUGAAAAUCCUUCGUGAUUGGGAUAGGGACUUGCAAUUAUUUCCCUUGAACGAGGAAUUCCCAGUAAGUGUGGGUCAUAAGCUCGCGUUGAUUACGUCCCUGCCCUUUGUACACACCGCCCGUCGCUGCCCGGGACUGAGCCGUUUCGAGAAGAACAGGGACCGUCGUUGAAGGGCCCUAACGGGCUUUUCUCUGAUAGAAACUGUUUU